GUUGUUGGGUAGGGGAGCGUUCUGUAAGCCUGUGAAGGUGUGCUGUGAGGCAUGCUGGAGGUAUCAGAAGUGCGAAUGCUGACAUAAGUAACGAUAAAGCGGGUGAAAAGCCCGCUCGCCGGAAGACCAAGGGUUCCUGUCCAACGUUAAUCGGGGCAGGGUGAGUCGACCCCUAAGGCGAGGCCGAAAGGCGUAGUCGAUGGGAAACAGGUUAAUAUUCCUGUACUUGGUGUUACUGCGAAGGGGGGACGGAGAAGGCUAUGUUGGCCGGGCGACGGUUGUCCCGGUUUAAGCGUGUAGGCUGGUUUUCCAGGCAAAUCCGGAAAAUCAAGGCUGAGGCGUGAUGACGAGGCACUACGGUGCUGAAGCAACAAAUGCCCUGCUUCCAGGAAAAGCCUCUAAGCAUCAGGUAACAUCAAAUCGUACCCCAAACCGACACAGGUGGUCAGGUAGAGAAUACCAAGGCGCUUGAGAGAACUCGGGUGAAGGAACUAGGCAAAAUGGUGCCGUAACUUCGGGAGAAGGCACGCUGAUAUGUAGGUGAAGUCCCUCGCGGAUGGAGCUGAAAUCAGUCGAAGAUACCAGCUGGCUGCAACUGUUUAUUAAAAACACAGCACUGUGCAAACACGAAAGUGGACGUAUACGGUGUGACGCCUGCCCGGUGCCGGAAGGUUAAUUGAUGGGGUCAGCGCAAGCGAAGCUCUUGAUCGAAGCCCCGGUAAACGGCGGCCGUAACUAUAACGGUCCUAAGGUAGCGAAAUUCCUUGUCGGGUAAGUUCCGACCUGCACGAAUGGCGUAAUGAUGGCCAGGCUGUCUCCACCCGAGACUCAGUGAAAUUGAACUCGCUGUGAAGAUGCAGUGUACCCGCGGCAAGACGGAAAGACCCCGUGAACCUUUACUAUAGCUUGACACUGAACAUUGAGCCUUGAUGUGUAGGAUAGGUGGGAGGCUUGGAAGUGUGGACGCCAGUCUGCAUGGAGCCGACCUUGAAAUACCACCCUUUAAUGUUUGAUGUUCUAACGUUGACCCGUAAUCCGGGUUGCGGACAGUGUCUGGUGGGUAGUUUGACUGGGGCGGUCUCCUCCUAAAGAGUAACGGAGGAGCACGAAGGUUGGCUAAUCCUGGUCGGACAUCAGGAGGUUAGUGCAAUGGCAUAAGCCAGCUUGACUGCGAGCGUGACGGCGCGAGCAGGUGCGAAAGCAGGUCAUAGUGAUCCGGUGGUUCUGAAUGGAAGGGCCAUCGCUCAACGGAUAAAAGGUACUCCGGGGAUAACAGGCUGAUACCGCCCAAGAGUUCAUAUCGACGGCGGUGUUUGGCACCUCGAUGUCGGCUCAUCACAUCCUGGGGCUGAAGUAGGUCCCAAGGGUAUGGCUGUUCGCCAUUUAAAGUGGUACGCGAGCUGGGUUUAGAACGUCGUGAGACAGUUCGGUCCCUAUCUGCCGUGGGCGCUGGAGAACUGAGGGGGGCUGCUCCUAGUACGAGAGGACCGGAGUGGACGCAUCACUGGUGUUCGGGUUGUCAUGCCAAUGGCACUGCCCGGUAGCUAAAUGCGGAAGAGAUAAGUGCUGAAAGCAUCUAAGCACGAAACUUGCCCCGAGAUGAGUUCUCCCUGACUCCUUGAGAGUCCUGAAGGAACGUUGAAGACGACGACGUUGAUAGGCCGGGUGUGUAAGCGCAGCGAUGCGUUGAGCUAACCGGUACUAAUGAACCGUGAGGCUUAACCUUACAACGCCGAAG
rnacentral:rRNA from 1 species